rnacentral:rRNA from 1 species
UGGGGAAUAUUGCACAAUGGAGGGAACUCUGAUGCAGCAACGCCGCGUGCGGGAUGACGGCCUUCGGGUUGUAAACCGCUUUCAGCCAUGACGAAGCUUUUGUGACGGUAGUGGUAGAAGAAGCACCGGCUAACUACGUGCCAGCAGCCGCGGUGAUACGUAGGGUGCGAGCGUUGUCCGGAAUUAUUGGGCGUAAAGAGCUUGUAGGCGGUUUGUCGCGUCGAUAGUGUAAACACGCAGCUUAACUGUGUGCCUGCUGUCGAUACGGGCUGACUAGAGGAGGGUAGGGGAGAAUGGAAUUCCCGGUGGAGCGGUGGAAUGCGCAGAUAUCGGGAGGAACACCAGUGGCGAAGGCGAUUCUCUGGACCUUUCCUGACGCUGAGAAGCGAAAGCGUGGGUAGCAAACAGG